UACGAAGGGGGCGAGCGUUGUUCGGAAUUACUGGGCGUAAAGGGCUCGUAGGCGGCCAACUAAGUCAGACGUGAAAUCCCUCAGCUUAACUGGGGAACUGCGUCUGAUACUGGAUGGCUUGGAUUCGGGAGAGGGAUGCGGAAUUCCAGGUGUAGCGGUGAAAUGCGUAGAUAUCUGGAGGAACACCGGUGGCGAAGGCGGCAUCCUGGACCGACAUUGACGCUGAGGAGCGAAAGCCAGGGGAGCAAACGGG
rnacentral:rRNA from 1 species